rnacentral:rRNA from 1 species
GUCCUCUCGUUUAUAUGGGAGGUCAGACCUGCCCGGUGAAAUUUUUUAACGGCCGCGGUAUUUUGACCGUGCAAAGGUAGCAUAAUCAUUAGUCUUUUAAUAGGAGGCUGGAAUGAAAGGUUUGACGAAAUAGUUACUGUCUCAUUUAUAUGAAUUUGAAUUUAAUUUUUAAGUUAAAAAGCUUAAAUUUUGUUGGAAGACGAGAAGACCCUAUAGAGCUUUAUAUUUAACUGUUAGAUUUUUAUUGUUAAUAAUGAUAUCUUUUAUUUAUUUAUUUUGUUGGGGUGACAAGGAAUAUAUUUAUAACUUUCAUUAUUUUUAUUACAUUUAUUUAUGAUUAUUAGAUCCAUUAUUAUUGAUUAUUAGAAUAAGUUACCUUAGGGAUAACAGCGUAAUCCUCUUUAGGAGUUCAAAUUUACAAGAGGGCUUGCGACCUCGAUGUUGGAUUAAGAUAAUAAUUAGGUGCAGUAGCUUAAUUAAUAGGUCUGUUCGACCUUUAAAUUCUUACAUGAUCUGAGUUCAGACCGG